rnacentral:lncRNA from 1 species
CUACUUAAAAAACAAUGGGUCAAUGAGGAAAUCAAGAAGGAAAUUAAAAAAAUAGCUCGAGACAAAUCAUAAGGAAGACACAACCACUCAAAAUCUAUGGGAUGCCACAAAAGCAGUGCUCAGAGGGAAAUUCAUAGCAAUACAGGCCUUCCUCAAAAAAGAAGAAAAAUCUCAAACUGACAAAUUAAGCUUCUACCUAAAUAAAUUAGAAAAAGAAGAACAAACAAAAUGUAAAAUCAGCAGAAGGAAGGAAAUCAUAAAUACCAAAGAGGAAAUCAAAAAAAUAGAGAUUAAUAAAACUAUAGGAAAAAAUCAGUAAAACCAAGAGCCUCUUCUUUUGAAAUCUAUUUUUUUCUGAUAGUCAUCUCAAUCCUCUUGAGUGUAUUCUCUAUCUAGUAUCUUACGCAAUUUAAAAAUGUUCAGCCUAUUUGUGUCUUUAUAUUUUUUUUGUUAUUUAUACAUAUAAAUAUUUAGCAUAUAAUUAGCUAACACAUUUUUAUCCAGUGUAACAACUUUGAAUCCUAAUUUAUACUGGUUAGAUAUAUUUAUUGCAUUAUUUUUAUUCUUAGAGGUAGCUCUAUAUUAUAAUAGACAUCCACUGUUUUUACAUUCAAGAGUGUACCAUUUCACAUUUUAUAUCUCUGACAUUUCUCACUUUCUACUCUGCAUUUCCAACUUUUCAAUUCAUAUUUGACAAUUCACACAUCUCACAUCCCACUCAAUAAAUAUAAUGUAAUACUCUUACUACAGCAUUAUACCAUUUUCUCCCUUAUGCUCAUUCUUUAUGUUUAUCUUUUUAUUCUCUCUAUAGUCAAUUGCAUUUUAUAGUGUUAUUUUUGGUUUAAAAUUUCAAGCAAAUUAUGAGAAGUAAAAUAUUAAUAUAGCCUUUUAUGUUUAAAACUUCUUUUAAAAUGAUUUCUUCUUAAAAAUUAUGGUUUCCAUUUUGUAACAAUUCCUUUAACCUGAAGAGUCUUGUUUUAGUAUCAUUGUAGAGUAGGCCCUCUGGUGGUAAGUUGCUUCAGCUUCUGAUUAACUGAAAAUGUCUCUAUUUCAAAAACAUUUUAAGUGAUAUUUUUGUUGGAUAUGGAGGUUUUAUCUGUCAGAAAAUUAGACGUGCCUUUUACUUUCUUCUGGUUUCAUCGUUUCCAAAUCAACAGUUAUUUAAAUUUUUCUUUCUAUUAUUUGUUCUCUGAAUUAUUUCAAGAUUUCUUUAAAAACCUUUGGUUUUUGCUAUUAUUUAUAACAGCUCUCUUCUUUUUUCUUUGUAAUGGGUUUCUCGAAUCUCUUAGUUGUUUUUCAUUAAAUAUGGGAAUAUUUCAGCCAUAACUUCUUAAAAUGUUUUUCUACUCUAGUCUCAUUCUCUUUUUCUCAUAGAUCUUAAAGUUUAUGCAUACUAGACAAUUUGACACUGUUCUUCAGGCUAGGCUAUGUUCAUUUUUUUACAAGCUGUGUUCUCUCUGAUUUUCAGAUUGGAAAGUUUCUUUUUAUUUGCUUUCAAGUUCAUUAUUUUUCUACCACUAUCUGCAAUUGAAUGUGAAGGUUAUCUUAGAUUUAAAAAAUUUUUGCUAUUGUAGUUCUCAGUUCUAGAAAUUCCAGUUUUUUAGUUUUCAUUAAUCUUUUUAAAGUCCUUAUUUGUUCAGUCAUUACACUCAUAUUUUCCUUUAAUAACUGAAAAUAUUUUCUUAGUUUUUAUCAUGUUUAUAUUUCACACAUUGUAAUGCAUGUGCCCUAUGAAAUCCAGUACCUGCACCAUCUCAUGAUGGCACUGAUUUUUUUACUGCAUUUUCUCUUGACUAUCCUUUAUCGUAUUGUGCAACUGCAAGGACUUUCUGACCGUGUCCGACUUUCUGUAAUAUGCUAUAUCCACAGUUCCUAGAAAAAUAUCUGAUACUUAGCAUCCAUUUAAUAAAUAUUUGUUUAAUUGAACAAGUGGAUAAGUAUGCAGAUACCUUUGAACAUAUGGAUUUGUAGAUCUUUCCAUUCUGUGGUGGAAUCCUGUUCCUGCUUAGUACCAUAAAGUUAUUAGAAGGGGAGACCUGUAGAAAUCCAAGCAAGUGGUGUAAUAAUUUGUUAGAUGAACAGGAGGAAUUAAUUCAGUUUAUAGGCAAAUGUCAGUCCACUCCAUCUAUUUUGCUUAUAGUAUGCUUGGAUUCCUAUCAACAGCUCAGAAAAAAAGUCAAAGGAUCAUCUCAUGUUCCUCUUUUCCUGAAUAAAACACUAGAUUGUGUUUGAUAUUUGGAUUGUGUGUGUGUGUAUGUAAUAUAUUAGCAGUACUAAAUAGAACCCAUAAUUUUUAUUUAAUUUUAAGUUUAAAAGAUUUAUUAAAUCAUGUCUAAAUAUGAUGGCCAGAUAGUUCUUUGUGUUUUGUGCUUAUUGCAGCUUGUUCUUUGUGUUUUUCUUCUUAUCGUCCUAGAACAUUAUGUAUCCUCCUAAUAGCAACCACACACUACACUUUUCUUGUUCGUUCUUUAUCAGAAGACUCCUUCCUCAUUAUAUCUCAUCUCCUCCUUUAAGAAGUACUGACAUUUUUCUCAUCUGUUUCUAUGUAGCCCUACCACUUGUUUGAGAAAAGUCACGUAGCAAAAGUGAGCUUCUUUCAUUUCAGAAGACAUGAUACACCAUAAUGUAGCUUGAACAUCUAUUUUAGAAAAUAACUUAUUAUUAUAAAAAUAAACAUAUCUACUCAUAUUUUAUUGUACAUCCUGUCAGUGAUUUUCAGAAUGUCAAUUACCUAAUCUUUUGGAAUUGUGCCUAAGGAAAUAUUCAUUAUGCACUGAUGAGAAUUAAGUAAUAUUUUCAUCUUUUUGUCAAGUUAAAGAGUAAAAGUUACCCUUACUAAUAAACUACUAGUAAGAAUAUUUGGCUAAAUAUUUAUUUAAAGGAAGUUUGUUUAAGUGGCAAAUAAAACAACCUGUCUACCAAUCUUAUUAAUUAUACAGUAUGUAUUAAUGGGGAAACUAUUGGAUCAGUAUACUGAUAAUUCGUUUGUGAUUCUCAUGUAUGUGAUAAAUAAAUUCUAAGCAUAACAGAUAGUAAUGAGAAUGAUUCAUUAGAAAAUUGCUGGCUUAAAUAUAUAUGGCUUUUAUUUUUAAAUAUAUGUAUGCAUAAUUUUGAAUAAUCAUAAGUGAGUGAAUUAUUUUGAACUAUUGUUGCUAUGACUGAAUAUGCACUCAGAAGUGCUUAACCUAUCCUCAGUCCAUAAAUCGUGCCAUAAAAUAGCCCUGUAAGGGAAUCAUCUGAGUACUCUCUGUUUUUCCUUUUUCUAUCAUACUCACCUAUUUCUAGCCUUGGGUGGUUUUCUUGUCAAGAAAUUCAGAAUGGCUUUUUAUUAUGCUGUUCUAGUGCAUACAAGUGUUAUUCUACUUUUAUGCUCUGUGCAUUUCCUUUAGGAUGUAUGAUGUAAUUUGGUAGAGGAAAUACUGGAAAAUAAUUUAAUUUAUUUGGAAACUACUUUUGAAAGGUGAGAGAAAUAAAUAUGAAUCUUCCAUCUUUCUUCUACAGCAUCAUUAUUAUACCUUCUGGACAUUAGAAAAUAUAGUAGCACAUUUUUACAGCUCUAGUCAUGUCAACACAGUUGUGUUUAGAAAGUAUAUUUCUAUGUUUGAAAGCAUGACCUUGUCUGUAAAUCUCAGAAUAAAGACUUGAGCAGCAGCCUUAACUCCUGAUUUCAGCUCCUGACUAUGGAUAUGGAGCUAUUCUAGGAUGCAUAGGGAUGCCCAAGGACAGUCUGAUAUGUUCUGAAGUUCUCUAACUCUAUUCCCACUGCUUUCCAAACAGUUCAUUAUUCUGAAUGUGUCUUUUUGGGCCUUGCUAAUCCCUAUCAUUCCUAGAGAAAAGAUAUUGGAUCCUAUUCUCAUUAACUCAAAAAAAGCUCCUUAUUUGUAAGCUGAAGUGUAUAAGUUUAUAAUUUCUCAGAAUAAAUUUAGUUAAACAUUUAUUAUACUAGAAGUCUAAUAAUUAUUCAGUUUCAGUCAUGUGUUAGUUAUGUAGGCUAGAGUUGAUGAAUAUCACUUUAAUGCAUACCUACACACUCUCAUAUACACACUUAAAUAUACUCACUCAAGUUUACUAUUUUUAUCAAAUCUAAGGGUAGUCAGUUUACAGAACAUUUCCUGAUGCUAAUUCCUUAAUAUAAGAAGGUUCAGAAAUAGCUAGAAUAUAAGAAGCUUAUAUUGAUAUUAAGUUUAUAUUACAUUAUAGUAAGAAAUUUAAUGAUAUAUUUAUGAAGGAUAAAUAUUUCCAUGAAAAUCUCAAGCCCCACCCCACCUUGAAUUCUUAUUCAUUUCACCCUCUAAAAAUCCUUGAGAUGUGACAUGUGCCUGGUUUUACAGUUCAGUCAUGAAAGUUUUCAAGCACCCUAAAACUUUUCUGAAUGCUUGGGCUUUAACUCUCUCUGUAUCCAAACAAGAGAUGUUUCUGUAAACACUGGAACCCUUUUCCUCACAUAUUACACACUGCUGUUUGAAGAGGUUAGAAAAGACACUUAAUAACCAAACUCUUCUUGGUCAUUAAUGUCACUAAGUCUCUCAGGGGCAUAUGCACAAUGACCUGCUGACACUGCUUCCUCUGGAGGCUGUGGCUCAUGCAGUCACUGAGGGUUGUUUAUUCAAAUCACGCUUGCCUGGCUCAAAAAAAUGGCAAAGUAAGGAGUUCCUGUCGUGGUGCAGUGGUUGACGAAUCCGACUAGGAACUAUGAGGUUGCAGGUUCAAUCCCUGGCCUUGCUCAGUGGGUUAAUGAUGUGGCGUUGCCGUGAGCUGUGGUGUAGGUCACAGACACGGCUCAGAUCCAGCAUUGCUGUGGCUCUGCUGUAGGCUGGUGGCCGCAGCUCCAAUUAGACCCCUAGCCUGGGAACCUCCAUAUGCCACAGGAGCGGCCC